CUAUAUGGAAUAAGAAUAAAUAAUGAAUGAAUGUCCCUAUCUACUUUCUAGCGAAACCACUGCCAAGGAAACGGGCUUGGAAAAAUUAGCGGGGAAAGAAGACCCUGUUGAGCUUGACUCUAGUCUGGCAUUGUAAGGAGACAUGUAAGGUGUAGCAUAAGUGGGAGAUAGUAAUAUCGUCGGUGAAAUACCACUAUUUUCAUCGUUUCUUUACUUACUCGAUUAGGCGGAAAGCGUGCGUCGAAAACUUGCGUUCCGACUGUCACGGUUUUCUAGAGCCAAGCGCAUAAGAGUGGUGUGAGCCAUUGCGCCGAUUGCCAACAAUACUCUAGCGUGAUCCGAUUCGAGGAAACUGCUAGGCGGGGAGUUUGACUGGGGCGGUACAUCUGUCAAAUAAUAACGCAGGUAUCCUAAGGCCAGCUCAGCGAGGACAGAAACCUCGCGUAGAGCAAAAGGGCAAAUGCUGGCUUGAUCCCGUUGUUUAGUGUGCACAGGGACUGCGAAAGCAUGGCCUAUCGAUCCUUUUGGCUUGAAGAGUUUUCAGCAAGAGGUGUCAGAAAAGUUACCACAGGGAUAACUGGCUUGUGGCAGCCAAGCGUUCAUAGCGACGUUGCUUUUUGAUUUUUCGAUGUGUUCAACAGGCAUGUCUGUGGGACGUCCUACCGGUGGGCUUAGCCCGUAAAAAGGCGGCCCAACUCAAAAUCCUACCAAAGGUGCUCUUCACCGAGUGUCGAGGUGGGCCGGUACGUUUACUUUGAACAAAUUAGAGUGCUUAAAGCAAGCUCAUUCGCCUGAAUAUUGUGUGCAUGGAAUAAUGGAAUAGGACCUUGGUUCUAUUUUGUUGGUUUUCGGAAUUCCGAGGUAAUGAUUAAUAGGGACAACUGGGGGCAUUCUUAUUGCGACGUUAGAGGUGAAAUUCUUGGAUCGUCGCAAGACGGACAGAAGCGAAAGCAUUUGCCAAAUGUGUUUUCAUCAAUCAAGAACGAAAGUUAGAGGUUCGAAGGCGAUCAGAUACCGCCCUAGUUCUAACCAUAAACGAUGCCAGCUAGCGAUCCGCCGAAGUUCCUCCGAUGACUCGGCGGGCAGCUUCCGGGAAACCAAAGCUUUUGGGUUCCGGGGGAAGUAUGGUUGCAAAGCUGAAACUUAAAGGAAUUGACGGAAGGGCACCAGAAGGAGUGGAGCCUGCGACCUAAUUUGACUCAACACGGGAAACCUCACCAGGUCCAGACACCGGAAGGAUUGACAGAUUGAGAGCUCUUUCUUGAUUCGGUGGGUGGUGGUGCAUGGCCGUUCUUUGUUGGUGGAGUGAUUUGUCAGGUUAAUUCUGAUAACGAACGAGACUCUAGCCUGCUAAAUAGACGUACUUUCUGGUAUCGCAAAGACCCUUCGCUUCGGCUUCGGUCGUUGUUGGUUGUGGUUCUCACUACCGGCGCACAAAUAUAUCUUCUUAGAGGGACAGGCGACAUUUAGUCGCACGAAAUUGAGCAAUAACAGGUCUGUGAUGCCCUUAGAUGUUCUGGGCCGCACGCGCGCUACACUGAAGAGAGCAGCAGGUUUUCCUUGGCCGAAAGGUCCAGGUAAUCCGUUGAAGCCUUUUUGUACUAGGGAUUGGGGCUUGCAAUUCUUCCCCAUGAACGAGGAAUUCCUAGUAAGCGCGAGUCAUAAGCUUGCGUUGAUUAUGUCCCUGCCCUUUGUACACACCGCCCGUCGCUACUACCGAUUGAAUUAUUUAGUGAGGUCUUCGGACCGGUGCGCGGCAGCGUUUCGACAUUGCCGAUGUUGCUGGGAAGAUAACCAAACUUGAUUAUUUAGAGGAAGUAAAAGUCGUAACAAGGUUUCCGUCAUUAACGUACAUUUAC
rnacentral:rRNA from 1 species